GAACAACCAACACAACGUCAGCUCAUCAAGUUCUCUUUGAGACCUUUUUCAGAGAAUCAUUUAAAUAUCGACAUCCAUGCUCCAACGUUACGACUGUUAGAAUGAGCAUUGACGAAGCUCAUCAAUACAAAGGACGAGGUCAACCAUCCUCCUGUUGGUGCUCAUGGCAGGUAGAUGUCGUAGACGGCCCCGGAGUCCACAUCCACAGCGUGGAAGCCCGAAGCAGAACCGUAGAUGACCUUUAACCUCUG